UACGUAGGGUGCAAGCGUUGUCCGGAAUUAUUGGGCGUAAAGAGCUUGUAGGCGGUUUGUCGCGUCUGCUGUGAAAUUUCGGGGCUCAACCCCGAACUUGCAGUGGGUACGGGCAGACUAGAGUGUGGUAGGGGAGACUGGAAUUCCUGGUGUAGCGGUGAAAUGCGCAGAUAUCAGGAGGAACACCGAUGGCGAAGGCAGCUAACUACGCGAUAAUUGACGCUGAUGCACGAAAGCGUGGGGAUCAAACAGG
rnacentral:rRNA from 1 species